UGGCUCCAAGGAGAUUUCACAGCAAUGCCUCCAGACUUCAUAACACGGACAUCUGGGAUAUUUAUCUGCUCCCUUAAUGGCCCAGGCCCCUCUCUGUAACAGAAGAAGACUAUAUGGGAUGGCAUUUUGGAGAAUGGUCUCUACGAUACAUGGAUCCUGGAUAUUGCAACUUAACUAUGGAUUUAUGGCCCCCAGCUUACCAAGAGUUUGUACCAUUGCCUAAGCCUACAGCACUGUGGGGAAACUGGAAAACCAUUGACUCAAUCACAGACAAAUGGGCCAACUCCAUUCUGGCCUUACAGACCUACAGAUAUCACCAGAUUCCUUCUACCGCCUCCAACCCCUAAUCGAUGUCUCCAUUCAGCAGGAAGAAGCUACAGAAGAAGGGACCUUUGUCCCUCUUUCCUGUUAAAAUCAGGGAGGAAUCUUAGGUGGGAACUAAAGGGAAGGUCUAAAAAAUAAGUCGCCAUGAUUCAUUGACCCACCCAGACCCAGACUUGCAGUCUCCAUGUUAUUGCACCUCUGCAGGUGAAAACCACCAAGCCUAUGAAGUGGUUGAUUUUCCAAGGACAAAGACAGCCCCAAGGAGAAAGCUAAAUUUUAUAUCAUGAUCUCAACUGCCAUCCUGGACCUAGAGAACUCAGCACAUGACUGCCUGCCUAUAAAACCUGAUUCUCUCCCAAUGACAGGGGGCCUGAGUUUUACUUUUUCAGUGCUCCCCGCCACCCUGUUGGUCAAUAAACCAUGCUUGCAAUCUCA